CUCAGAGUGUCCCCGACCCUCAGAGUGUCCCCAACCCUCAGAGCCCCGAGCCCUCAGAGCCUCCGCGGAGAGAGACCGGCAGGCUCCUCCGCCCACCUCCCGGGGAAUAAACGUGCCCCGCAGAGACGAUGCUCUUCCAUUCCCCUCUUGGGGAAUAAAGGUGCCCGUGAGGGAAAAACUCGUCGCGGGAGGGAUAUUCUCCAUCUCCCUCAGGAGAAUAAAGGGACACACGGACUUGGACCAGGACGAGUGGCUGCCAGGGCUGACGUUUGCAGAGGCAUCAGAGCCAGAAGGAACUGGACUGCAGCCACCUCAGAGAGGAGUGAAAAGAAGGGGAAAUCCCUCUGUAACGUGAAUAAAGAACUGAAAAUUCCACAACAAUUCUUGAAGAUUUCUUCCCUGCUGCAGUGUCUGCUCUGAGGUGACCAAAAUCCCCCAUCAACCUUCAGGGAAUUUUCUGAGAAAACCCUCUCCUCAUGGCCCACAGUCCUGCCAGGAUUGCUGCCAAGAGUGCAAAAGCAUGGAUUAGCUUCACCCCGUGAGCCUGUGAGCAUAUGCAAACCAGCAGAACUCCAUCAAACCUCGCAGAGACACAUCAUGGCAAACCCCUCCCCAACAGAUCCCGAGCUCUGAGGAACCAGGAUCAGGAACUGGCUAAGAAAACAUCAGCAACGCACCACCCCACUCCUAAAAAAACCCAACCCCAAGACAAUAAAACCCCUCAAAGCCCAAACCAGCAACAAUAAAGAGGCAAGGAGCGAUCAGCCUGGUCUGACAGGAUCGUCAAUGCUCCUUCGUUCUGGGGACAGCAGUUUAUCUCAUAAACUCCCCAUUCAACCUCUGUCCCUGCAGGCUGUGGAAAACAAGAGCCCCUGGCUGACUCCUGUCCCCCCCAGCUGAAAGCAGGGUGGGUUCCAGUCUGUGCCUCUCCAGAAAACAGCACUGGGACUAGAGAGAAAAGGCCACAGCAAAAGCUUUGUGCACCGGUACCUUUCCCCUCCUUGCCUUCCAUUGUCAUACUAACGUGAAGUCACUGGUUUUAUUGCUCCUCAUCCCACCUCACUCCCUGUGUGUGUUCCCUACAAACUCUAACCAGCCUGCUCGUUCACACCUUGGGGAGGAGUGUUCACGAGUUUUAUACACUUGCCACACUUGGGAACUUUUACAAGGUUAAAAAAGCACGAGCAAGGCACACAGGGGGUGAAAUAAGUCCUCUGCAAUGAGAGCACAGCCCCCAGCUUUGAGUUCUGCUGUGAGGUAAUCCAUGGUACAGGCACAAAAUCACCACAGUUACGUCACCUGAUGAUGAACAUUCCAUGAAAGCAAAGUUGCCAAACUGCUAGAACUGUUUUGGGUUGGUUUGUUGUUUUUUUUUUAAAUCAUAACAUUAAAGCACAAGUAAAAAAUCCCACAAAUACAAACUACAUAAUAAAUAACUCAUGGUGCUUUCAUAAAAAUCCGCUACGAAAACUUACCCAGAGCCUAAUGAAAACCACGCAGGCACUGGAAUCCUACACCCAGCGUGCCCUCCAAGUAGGAACAGGAACAGCCCUGCUAGUGCUGCUAUCAUUUAACUUGUUUAUAAAGCUGGGAAAAGCUCCAGCUGCAAUCCCACCUCUGUUUUUUGUGCCUUCCUGUGGUCGUAGGCGCAGAAAAUAAAUA